rnacentral:tRNA from 1 species
GGGGAUUUAGCUCAAUGGCAUAAGCACCUGCCUUGUGAGCAGGCCGUGGUGAGUUCAAUCCCCA